rnacentral:rRNA from 1 species
CCUACGGGAGGCAGCAGUGAGGAAUAUUGGUCAAUGGGCGAGAGCCUGAACCAGCCAAGUAGCGUGAAGGAUGACUGCCCUACGGGUUGUAAACUUCUUUUAUCAAGUAAUAAAGUGAGGCACGUGUGCCUUUUUGUAUGUACUUGAUGAAUAAGGAUCGGCUAACUCCGUGCCAGCAGCCGCGGUAAUACGGAGGAUCCGAGCGUUAUCCGGAUUUAUUGGGUUUAAAGGGAGCGUAGAUGGGUUGUUAAGUCUGUUGUGAAAUAUUACGGCUUAACCGUAGAAUUGCAAUGGAUACUGGGCGGCUAGAGUACAGGAGAGGUAGGCGGAAGUCGUGGUGUAGCGGGGAAAUGCGUAGAGAUCAGGAGGAACACC